UAAGAGCUAGGUUAUGAAGGCAGGGGGGUCUCCUAGAUGAAGGCUGCUUCCAGAGGAGAAGUGUUUCGUAGCCGGAAACCGUACCACCAGUUGAGUUUCCCAACAAGCCGGGUCAUUCUUCAUGCCUUAUGGGAUCAAGAUGUCUGGCUGAAUAGUAGAGAAAUUCUCACGUAGUAACAGCUGCUAUGGUCAGCCAGAUGAGUGAUUCUGAGCCUUUACCAAGAAUUUCUAAAAUAGCUAUAUCAUCUACUGAAGUAAAAUAAGUUGGGAGGAACUCGAAUAAUACAUCUGUGAAGGGAAAGGAGUUUAUCACCUCGGGAAAGGUGACUGUUUUCAUCCUGGCACUUUCCUUUAAGAAGCCGCCAUGGUGUAGACUCAUUUCAGUGAUGCUAUUACCUGUCUUCUCUUCAGUGCUGAUCCUUCCUACAACUCUUGUUUUGUGGUCUGAAUACACGGAUUCUUGUUCAGAUGCUGCACCCCUAAUUCAACACAUAGAAUUCUGUAUCCUGCAUAGAUAAAGCAUCCUUGUAACUAUGGAACUGAAUUGUGCCUUAAAGAACACAUAGUGUUUAUGGGGAGCUGGGACUUUCAUUAAGCUUACAUCCUGCCUACAGCAGUUUUUAAAAGAUGAAAGAUUCUUUAAUAGGGUUCUUUCCAUUUUUGACUGUUCCACAGCGUGAGUCUGCAAGAAGUGAUACCUUAACAUAUGUGGAAUGGUCCUGCUUCGCAGACCAUUAUUUUUUCUUAUCUCUCAGGAUGUUAGAUGAGUAAAGUCACAACUCUCUCUUCUAAGAUGAAAGUUACGCUGCUAGAGGUUAAAUAUAGCUUUUUAUUACUGCUGUUAGUUUUGUUUUACUAAGAAGAGAAGGAAUCAUAAAGCAAAAACCAGGUAUUUUGUUGGCAGGUACCCUGAGGAGAUGGUAGAUAAGUUCAGUGUUUUCUUUAGAUUCUAAUAGUGUCUGGAAGUCCUCCACAUUGAAGGCAAGUAAUAGCCAUUUCUGACUGCCAGUAGAAAAUAGCAUGCAAUUUAUUUAUAAAUAAAAAUAUACAAUUCUAAUAAUUUAAUUCCCAUCUCGGAAAUGUUUCCUUCUUGCCUGCCUUAACACUGGGUCAAGAAUCAAGCUUCCAGUACAUUUCUCUCUCAUUUAUUAUCCAGACUUUUAUCUCACUAUGCAAUAACAACUAGCUUAAUUUCCCCUAGGCACCCAUAUAAGCUUUUAUGUUAGAAAAGUUCAAUUGUUGCAUCUUCAGAUCCUUUCUGAAUGCCAUUGUAUUUUCUCCUCAAACUGCAACUGAGAAGCAUAGCUUGUAGAAAAAAUGUGGGAAAGAUAGGAACAUUUCAUUUCAACCUCUUGAUGCAAUAUUUCAUAUCUCUCAUGUUGAUGUAGCUCAACAAAUUGUUUAUUAAAUUUCUUUUCCAAAGGGCAAACUUGGGACUUCAUUUCCAAGAAAUUAUAAACUGCUCUGAAAUGCUGCAACAUUAUACUGGAAAGCUUUUUUUUCUUUUUUCUUUUUUCUUUUUUUU